UACGUAGGGCGCAAGCGUUAUCCGGAAUUAUUGGGCGUAAAGAGCUCGUAGGCGGUUUGUCGCGUCGGGAGUGAAAACCAUGGGCUUAACUCAUGGCUUGCUUUCGAUACGGGCAGACUAGAGGUAUGCAGGGGGAGAACGGAAUUCCUGGUGUAGCGGUGAAAUGCGCAGAUAUCAGGAGGAACACCGGUGGCGAAGGCGGUUCUCUGGGCAUGAUCUGACGCUGAGGAGCGAAAGUGUGGGGGAGCGAACAGG
rnacentral:rRNA from 1 species